rnacentral:rRNA from 1 species
AUUGAACGCUGGCGGCAUGCCUUACACAUGCAAGUCGAACGGUAACGGGCCUUCGGGUGCCGACGAGUGGCGAACGGGUGAGUAAUGUAUCGGAACGUACCUUUCAGUGGGGGAUAACGUAGCGAAAGUUACGCUAAUACCGCAUAUUCUGUGAGCAGGAAAGCAGGGGAUCGCAAGACCUUGCGCUGAUUGAGCGGCCGAUAUCAGAUUAGCUAGUUGGUGAGGUAAAGGCUCACCAAGGCGACGAUCUGUAGCGGGUCUGAGAGGAUGAUCCGCCACACUGGAACUGAGACACGGUCCAGACUCCUACGGGAGGCAGCAGUGGGGAAUUUUGGACAAUGGGGGCAACCCUGAUCCAGCCAUGCCGCGUGAGUGAAGAAGGCCUUCGGGUUGUAAAGCUCUUUCGGCCGGGAAGAAAUCGUAUCAGCUAAUACCUGGUGCGGAUGACGGUACCGGCAUAAGAAGCACCGGCUAACUACGUGCCAGCCGCCGCCGUAA